GGGGGUGUAGCACAUAUGUUAGAGCGCUCGCUUCGCAUGGGAGAGGCACGGGGUUCGAUUCCCCGCACCUCAA
rfam:Ipomoea nil DNA, scaffold: scaffold2283, cultivar: Tokyo-kokei standard.